CGCCUUGCCAGCCCGCUCAGAAACUUAAAUGAAUUGACGGGGACCCGCACAAGCGGUGGAUGAUGUGGAUUAAUUCGAUGCAACGCGAAAAACCUUACCUACCCUUGACAUGUCUGGAACCCUGCUGAAAGGUGGGGGUGCUCGAAAGAGAGCCAGAACACAGGUGCUGCAUGGCUGUCGUCAGCUCGUGUCGUGAGAUGUUGGGUUAAGUCCCGCAACGAGCGCAACCCUUGUCAUUAGUUGCUACGAAAGGGCACUCUAAUGAGACUGCCGGUGACAAACCGGAGGAAGGUGGGGAUGACGUCAAGUCCUCAUGGCCCUUAUGGGUAGGGCUUCACACGUCAUACAAUGGUCGGUACAGAGGGUAGCCAACCCGCGAGGGGGAGCCAAUCCCAGAAAACCGAUCGUAGUCCGGAUCGCAGUCUGCAACUCGACUGCGUGAAGUCGGAAUCGCUAGUAAUCGCGGAUCAGCAUGUCGCGGUGAAUACGUUCCCGGGUCUU
rnacentral:rRNA from 1 species